AACAGAAUGGCCUUGGGUUAUAUUUUAGCAUCAAAAAGAGGAGUGUGUGCUUUAAUUAAGGAGCAAUUCUGUAUAUUUAUAAAAGACAGAACUGGUGACAUAGAAAUGAACUUAGAUAAAAUUGGACGAAUUCAGAAUAAACUACGUCAAGUUAAUGGAAAAUGGGAUCUAUUAGAUCUUGAAAGAUUGCUGUGUUCACUUGGAGCAAAACCGGUGACUGGUUUGAUUGUGGCUUUGUUUGUCAUUGUAUGUGUCUAUGUUUUCGUUCUUCUAACUAAGGCGCUGAUUGUAAAGUGUACUGGCACUAGCCAUGAAAUGCCUUUAUUGGAAGGUGAAGAAUUUCCUAAUUUAAAAGACCUGGAAACUCUGGAUAAUGCAAUGUAUGAUGAUUCACAUGAACAGAAAUUAAUGAACACCUGGAUCACUAUCCA